ensembl:lncRNA
GGUCUGUUGUGUAAGCAGAAAUUGCCACACUUUGACAAAGCACUGCUUAAAUAUUUUGGUGGGGCGGCCUCCACUUUAAAGUUUUUGAGGAGGGUUGGGGGGGGAUUAGUCAACCAGCUGCUAAAGCUCAGUUACUCAGCUUGUUAAGAGUUAACUUCACAUCUGGAUCUAGUCAGUGUGAGGCUGAGUGCAAAAGCCAACAGAGAACCAAGGAAUACCAUAGCAAGGGAGGCAGACAUGACCAGCGCCUGCCUUUUGUCAUAAAUACAACUGUCACCUCAAGCUCAGCAGGUUGCUCAGUGGUAAAGAAUCUGUCCGCCAAUGCAGGAGACCCAAGAAAAGCAGGUUGGAUCCCUGUGUUGGGAAGAUCCCAUGGAGUAGGAAAUGGCAACUCACUCCAGGAUUCUUGGCUGGAAAAUCCCAUGGACAGUGGAGUCUGGCGGGCUCACUGAGUCAGACAGGACUGAGCAUGGGCACGAAUUUCCUCCUUAAAGGUCCCACCUCCAAAUAUCACCACUCCAUCACAUUGGGCUCCAACUAACGAAUUUGGGGUAUUGGACGGGAAGGACACAUUCAGUUCAUGCCCACAUUUUUAAGCAGGAGACUAGAGUCUAGCCCCUGGGUUGGGAAGAUCCCCUGGAGGAAGAAAUGGCAGCACACUCCAGUAUUCUUGCCCAGAAAAUUCCAGGGACAGAGGAUCCUGGUAGGCUAUAGUUCAUUCGGUGGCAAAAAGAGUUGCGUGUGACUGAGCACACACAAACAAUUUUACAAAAAAUAAACUAAAUGAAAUAAAUGUCAUCCUUAGUAAUGAAAUAAUCUCUUUUUAAACUGAAAUAGAGUUGAUUUACAAUGUUUCAGAUGCAUGCCAAAGUGAUUCAAUUGUACAUAGAUAUAUCUAUUCU